UACGGAGGGGGCUAGCGUUGCUCGGAAUCAUUGGGCGUAAAGCGCACGUAGGCGGUUCGUUAUGUCGGAUGUGAAAGCCCUUGGCUUAACCGAGGAAGUGCAUCCGAAACUGGCGAGCUAGAGUACGAAAGAGGAUCGCGGAAUUCCCGGUGUAGAGGUGAAAUUCGUAGAUAUCGGGAGGAACACCGGUGGCGAAGGCGGCGAUCUGGGUCGGCACUGACGCUGAGGAGCGAAAGCGUGGGGAGCGAACAGG
rnacentral:rRNA from 1 species